UACGUAGGGGGCGAGCGUUGUCCGGAAUCAUUGGGCGUAAAGAGCGUGUAGGCGGCUUGGCAAGUCUGACGUGAAAGCCCGCGGCUCAACCGCGGAUUGUCGUUGGAAACUGCCUCGCUAGAGUCCGGAAGAGGAGAGCGGAAUUCCGUGGUGUAGCGGUGGAAUGCGCAGAGUAUCAGGAAGAACACCCGUGGCGAAGGCGGCUCUCUGGGACGGUACUGACGCUGAGACGCGAAAGCGUUGGGGAGCGAACAGG
rnacentral:rRNA from 1 species